GAUGAACGCUGGCGGCGUGCCUUACACAUGCAAGUCGAGCGAGAAUUUUUUGAUGGGGCAACCCAUUGGAAAGUUCUAGCGGCAAACGGGUGAGUAAUGGAUGGGUAACCUACCCUAAAGACGGGGAUAGCCUUCUGAAAAGAAGGGUAAUACCCGAUAAUGUUGACAGACUUAGGUUUGUCAAAGAAAGAUGGCCUCUGUUUCAUGCUAUCACUUUUGGACGGGCUCAUCUCCUAUCAGCUAGUUGGUGAGGUAAUGGCUUACCAAGGCAACGACGGGUAGCUGGUCUGAGAGGAUGGACAGCCACAUUGGGACUGAGACACGGCCCAGACUCCUACGGGAGGCAGCAGUGGGGAAUAUUGGUCAAUGGGCGAAAGCCUGAACCAGCGACGUCGCGUGGAGGAUGGAGGCCGCAAGGUUGUAAACUCCUUUUAUUAAGGAAAAAGGGAUAGAUCUCAAAUAGGGAACUAUUCUUGAUGGUACUUUUUGAAUAAGCCCCAGCUAACUACGUGCCAGCAGCUGCGGUAAGACGUAGGGGGCGAGCGUUAUCCGGAAUUACUGGGUGUAAAGGGUAUGCAGGCGGAUUGACAAGUUGAAUGUAAAAACUCAGAGCUUAACUCUGAGCUCGCAUUCAAAACUGUUGAUCUAGAGAGCAGUAGAGGGAAGUGGAAUUCCAGGUGUAGCGGUAAAAUGCUUAGAUAUCUGGAAGAACACCAGUGGCGAAAGCGGCUUCCUGGGCUGUCUCUGACGCUCAUAUACGAAAGCUAGGGGAGCAAACAGGAUUAGAUACCCUGGUAGUCCUAGCCGUAAACGAUGGAUGCUUGGUGUUGGGGAGGUUGCUUCUCAGUGCCGGAGCUAACGUGUUAAGCAUCCCACCUGGGAAGUACGGCCGCAAGGUUAAAACUCAAAGGAAUUGACG
rnacentral:rRNA from 1 species